rnacentral:lncRNA from 1 species
GACCAGAAUAUGAUUAGAAUCAGGACCAGGCUUCCUGAUUCUAAGUCCAGUGCUCCACCACAUUUUAGUAUCCUAUUUUGCAGUUCUAUAGCCAUAACAAUCAUCCUCAAAGAAGGAUGCACUAAAUUUCCCAAUUAGCAACUACCCCUCGGUGAAGCAUGUUAAGCACGCCAGAUUCUUCUUUCAGAAAAUGAAAUAAGUGCUGACAAAGCAGGGGUAACACUAGCCUGGGGAAUUUGCUCUAACCUCCACAGAGAAGAAUCUCUGCAUUGU